CUGGGGACCUUUCUGCCACAUGGAGAGAGAGGAGCCCACCAGGACCAAGGUCUUUAUUGGGAAAAUAGAACCGUCCCCAUGGGUGGAGAGCAUGGACCCCUGGUCUAUCCAGAGGUUCAUCCCACCCAGGUCGGUUUUUGAUAGGUAAAAGAGAAGUUCUAAACAUCACUGAAUAUGGCCUCAAAACCAGCAGAAAAAGAAUAAAUCAAUCUAGAAUUCCCAA